rnacentral:lncRNA from 10 species
CCGGAACCUCGCGUGCUGCAGGAGGGCACUUCCCUCCUCCCCCAGUCCCUCGCCUGCGUUGGUGCGCUGGACACAUUUCCCCACGAAGUGAGCCACAAAUCUGGCUUUUUUUACUUGGAGAAUGAGUUGGCACUCUCCAGGAGGACACAGCACUGUUAGAAUGAGCCCCCUUUCUGGCUCACCGCUGACCCACUCUGGCAGAUGAGGAAAUUGAGGUCCACUGAACUUAAGUAUACAAAGUUGUUGAUUGUCACAUGCUUCCGGGAAGGAGGGAAUUGGAGAGACUACCAAAAAAGGGCAACCUGAUCUCCAGGGAAACAGAAGAAUUGGACAUUGAACCAAUCUCCCUACACCCUACACUCACCUGAACAGAAGAAAUCCCUGUGGUUGCAGCAGCUUUGUUGGCCAGGAAGGGGAGGAUUUGACGAGUGAGUUGUCUGUCUCCUGAAUACUCCCCACAUAGCCCGUAUACACUGCUGGGGAAACUGGGGCUCAGAGAAGUCUGGUGACCUAACUCAGAUCAUGCAGCAAAGAAAUGACUAUAGUUGGAACACAGGACUUUUGCCUCCUGCCCGGGGCUCUCUGCUUGUCAUCCUUUAUUUCUGUGGCUCCAAAAUGACAAAAAUGCCAAAUAACCCUCAUUUGCAGAUGGUUUAUGGAGAUGACAUAAAUAAAGGACAAUUCUGGAAGUGUCUACUGGUUCUUCUGACAGACACAGAAAUGAGUGAUGUGUCUAUCCGCUCCCAUCUACCUCACACCCCUGACCUCCCCUGGACUUCACCUUUGCCUCCUUUCUGUGCCUGAAACAUUUGCAGUUUUGCUUUUAAAAAAUUGCAGAGGAUGGAUUGUUCAUCUGAACAGAAAUCCCACUAAAAAACAGAACCCAGGCUUGGAGCAGCUACAAUUACUGACAUCUCAGGCUGCUCAGAGUCUGGAAAUCUCUGCCCAGACAUGCCCAGUCUUCUUCCUCUAACGCAGCUGACCUCGGGGAGGACAGGCUUCUUUCUCCUCUGCUGUGGGGAUGGGAGCCCAGGUAGGGGUGGGAGGACACAGUAGCAGACCCCCUUGGCCUGCCUCGCCCUGGAGUCAGGCCAGGAUUGUGGCUAAACCCCAGAAAGGCCACGGCACAGCCUCAGGACCCCACUCUAAGCCCCACUGCUGUCUGCACCUUCGCUCCUAUACAUCCAAACCAUCCAAAGGGCUGGUUGUCAAAUGUCCAGCAGAGGACAGGCACCUUCUCCCACUGCCUUGAAGCCCCUCUGCUUUCAGGCAUUUCAAAUAGACUAGACAUUGUCUGUCUGUUUACUUUGGGGAGAAAAUUUUUUUUAAUAAAGGCUUGUAAUGAAUUAUUUAAAUUUUUGUGGUACUGAGCUUCACAAUGAAAUAAUUCUUUUUGUUGUUGUUUUUGGGAAAGAAUUUUUUUUAUAACUUCUAGCUCACCACCACCACGACAUUCAAUAUUUCUUAAGUACCUACUAAGUGUCUAGUACUAUUCAGUGCUUUAAAAAAAAAAGUUUGCAACCAUGCACUUGAAUGUGUACCCAGACACACUCUAAGGGAGGACUUCUGCCCUGAAAAAGGCAAGGGAGCAGGCUGUUAAAAGUCACACACAGAAUCUGACUCCCAGCACACACUCACACAAGCACACAUGCAUCAGAUCCCAGCCCUGUCGCAAGGAUCUGCUGGCAGAUCACAUACCCUGUUCAGAGUAACAGGCUAAGGUUUACCUGGGGUCUUUAGAGGUCUCCUGUCUCCUACCAUCCCCUUCCUCACCUGAAAACAGGCAGCCCAAGGACAAAAUAGCCACCAGCCUCUUCUAUGCCAGAGCUCAACAUGUUGGGACAUGUUCCUGACGGCCAGAAAGCCAAUCAGAGCCACAGCCUGCUGCCCAAGCAUGUUCCUGGGAAGCAGGCAGCAUAGGGAUGGAGGGAGGCUCAGCCUGGGGGACAAGAGUGCCCAGUCCAGCCCCCUCCCCAGAGUGCGGUGGAGCAGCAUGGGGUAGGGGAAUGGUGAAAGGUGGAAAGCCCAAGCCUGAAGAAGGAGGAUGUGAGGAAGGCUCAGUGGUGGCUGCAGAAGCUGCCUAGGAAGGGAGAGGAAGUGCUGGGAACAAUGUCACCAUUUCUCAGAAAGAGACUGGGGAGUCCCAAAUAGGGGCAGUCAGCUUUCAGAGGAAUUCACCUUCACACAGGCUCCCAAGAAGUGAGACCCCAGAGAAGAGGCGGAACAAAGAUAGAACAUUAUUGAGCAGAGGCAGCCCUGGCUUUUUGUUUUCAUUUUGUUUUUUUGUUUUGUUUUGUUUUUUGAGACAAAGUCAGCAGUGGCACAAUCUCAGCUCACUGCAGUCUCCGCCUCCCAGGUUCAAGCAAUUCUGCCUCAGCCUCCCGAGUAGCUGGGAUUACAGGCAUGCACCACCAUGCCCAGCUAAUAUUUGUAUUUUUUUUUUUGCACAAAAAGUUGGAUUUAUUGUUUCUGACAAGUGGUUAGUAAUUUUCAGUUUGCUCAUGUUCCUAGCAUCACAAAUCUGAAGUACAAUUUUGCUUCUCAAUUAAAAAUAUAUACUGGCCGGGCGUGGUGGCUUACGCCUGUAAUCCCAGCACUUUGGGAGGCCGAGGCGGGCAGAUCACAGGGUCAGGAGUUUUGAGACCAGCCUGGCCAAUAUGGUGAAACCCCGUCUCCAUUAAAAAUACAAAAAUCAGCCGGGCAUGGUGGUGGGCACCUGUAGUCCCAGGUAUUCAGGUGGCUGAGGUGGGAGAAUCGCUUGAACCUAGGAGGCGGAGGUUGCAGUGAGCUGAGAUCAUGCCACCUGCACUCCA